rnacentral:rRNA from 1 species
CCUACGGUGGACAGCAGUGAGGAAUAUUGGUCAAUGGGCGGAAGCCUGAACCAGCCAAGUAGCGUGCAGGAUGACGGCCCUCCGGGUUGUAAACUGCUUUUAUACGGGAAUAACGCGCCUUACGUGUAGGGCUUUGCAUGUACCGUAUGAAUAAGGACCGGCUAAUUCCGUGCCAGCAGCCGCGGUAAUACGGAAGGGCCGGGCGUUAUCCGGAUUUAUUGGGGUUAAAGGGAGCGUAGGCGGCAUGUCAAGCGUGCUGUGAAAUGGCCGGGCGCAACCCGGGCCUUGCAGCGCGAACUGGCGUGCUUGAGUCCGCGGAAAGCAGGCGGAAUUCGUGGUGUAGCGGUGAAAUGCUUAGAUAUGACGAAGAACCCCGAUUGCGAAGGCAGCUUGCUGCAGCGGAACUGACGCUGAUGCUCGAAAGCGCGGGUAUCGAACAGGAUUAGAUACCCGAGUAGUC